GCAACUCGACUGCAUGAAGCUGGAAUCGCUAGUAAUCGCGAAUCAGCAUGUCGCGGUGAAUACGUUCCCGGGUCUUGUACACACCGCCCGUCACACCAUGGGAGUCGGAAAUGCCCGAAGCCAGUGACCCAACUGCAAAGAGGGAGCUGUCGAAGGCAGGUCUGAUAACUGGGGUGAAGUCGUAACAAGGUAAC
rnacentral:rRNA from 1 species